UUCCGGUUGAUCCUGCCGGAGGCUACCGCUAUUGGAGUCCGAUUAAGACAUGCGAGUCGAGAGCUUUCGGAGCUCGGCAUACUGCUCAGUAACACGUGGGUAACCUGCCCUAUGCUGGGGGAUAACCUCGGGAAACUGAGAACAAUACCCCAUAGUCCACUACGCCUGGAACGGUGAGUGGAUGAAAGCCCCGGCGGCAUAGGAUGGGCCUGCGGCGUAUCAGGUUGUAGGGGGUGUAAUGUACCCUCUAGCCUUCGACGCGUACGGGUUGUGAGAGCAAUAGCCCGGAGAUGGAUUCUGAGACAAGAAUCCAGGUCCCACGGGACGCAGCAGUCGCGAAACCUUGACAAUGCGGGAAACCGUGAUCAGGGGACUCCAAGUGCCAGGAGUAAGAUCCUGUGCUUUUCAUCUCUCUUCAAAGGAUUUGGAAUAAGAGGUGGGUAAGGACGGUGCCAGCCGCCGCGGUAAUACCGGCGCCUCAAGUGGUAGUCGAUUUUAUUGGGCCUAAAACGUCCGUCGCCGGUCUGGUGCAUUCGUGGGUAAAUCAACCCGCUCAACGGGUUGAAUUCUGCGAGCACGGCCAGACUAGGGACCGGGAGAGGUGUAGGGUACGCUCGGGGUAGGGGUAAAAUCCUGUCAUCCCGAGCGGACCACCUGUUGCGAAGGCGCUACACUAGAACGGAUCCGACGGUCAGGGACGAAGCCUAGGGGCACGAACCGGAUUAGAUACCCGGGUAGUCCUAGGUGUAAACGCUGUGGACUUGGUGUUGGAAGCUCCCAGAGGGCUUUCAGUGCCGUAGCGAAGGUGAUAAGUCCACUGCCUGGGGAGUACGGUCGCAAGGCUGAAACUUAAAGGAAUUGGCGGGGGAACACCGCAACCUGAGGAUUGUGCGGUUUAAUUGGACUCAACGCCGGGA
rnacentral:rRNA from 1 species